CCUAGAUUUCCUGCAGCCGUCUCCAUGCUCAGGUGGCUCUGUGUCCUAGCUCACCUUGGGAUUGUGCUUGAGUGGAGAAAGAUUGGAAUCCCUGACCACAUUAAAAUACUUCAUCAUGGAAAACCUAAGACACAGAGCCGAGGAGUGAAGAGGAGUGUGAGCACUGGUGAGUCUGUCAACCGACUCCACAGCGACUAUGCUCUGCUGCUUUGCCCACGCUCUCCUUUUAUACAGGUAUGGUGCAAGGUCUACGUGAGGCAGGAGCACAGUGCCUGGCAUGCCGUCCGCACUCAGUCAGCUGGGCUGCGCCCACAAGUGCACGAUAAGGUGGUGUUGAGAGCGAAGGGCAACUGGUGAACAUUGCUUUGGGGAAUCCCAGGAUGUUGAACUCUUUUCCUCCUACUUUUUCAGCCACCGAUCAGUUUUAACAGCUGGUUCUAUGUAGAGAAUGCAACAAAAACCGUUUUGGAUUAAACACAUCCAUGUUAAGCUCAGAGCAGCCACCCACUAUGUACCAUAUGCUGUCUUAUUCUUUAACCAAAUGAGGGGAAAAAAAGGAACGGCCCACUUCCCCUCACUCUUUUUAAAAAGGUCUUUCUCUUCAGUACAGGCUGAGGCUUAAAUGUGCUUUGAUUCCAGAAAUUGUGUUUACCAAGUAUUGAUACCUUCAUCUUUAAGAAGAUCUGGCUGGUUCAGUUCUGUUUCAUUCUCAAGGGAGUCCCCGUGGGGUACACCCUUGAAUGUUUUCUGAAGUCAGUGAGAUGGAACCACUACCAGAUGCAGUGUGAACUUUUCCAACCCCUAAAAUAAAUUCUUGUGAACGAAGCUCA
rnacentral:lncRNA from 1 species